rnacentral:rRNA from 1 species
CCUACGGGGGGCAGCAGUGAGGAAUAUUGGUCAAUGGACGAAAGUCUGAACCAGCCAAGUAGCGUGAAGGAUGACUGCCCUAUGGGUUGUAAACUUCUUUUAUAUGGGAAUAAAACGUUCCACGUGUGGGAUUUUGUAUGUACCAUAUGAAUAAGGAUCGGCUAACUCCGUGCCAGCAGCCGCGGUAAUACGGAGGAUCCGAGCGUUAUCCGGAUUUAUUGGGUUUAAAGGGAGCGUAGGUGGAUUGUUAAGUCAGUUGUGAAAGUUUGCGGCUCAACCGUAAAAUUGCAGUUGAAACUGGCAGUCUUGAGUAGAGUAGAGGUGGGCGGAAUGCGUGGUGUAGCGGUGAAAUGCUUAGAUAUCACGAAGAACUCCGAUUGCGAAGGCAGUUCACUGGACUGCAACUGACACUGAGGCUCGAAAGUGUGGGUAUCAAACAGGAUUAGAUACCCUUGUAGUC